GAACUGCUGUUGGUUGCCCCACCCUGACUGCGGGCUUGGGGCCUAAUCUACUGACUCUGUUUAUUUUUGCUCAGCCCCUGCCUGAGGGUCUGAGCCCGUGGACCUUCGGAGACUGACUUGCGGAUUUAGGCCGUGUAGUGAGGCGGUCUGGCUCCCGGCCGCCCCUGAGACGUCCGAGCCCCCACACCGGACCCUUACAGUUCCCCAUGGUUUAUGCAGAGCAGCCCCCUGGUUGCAGGCACCACCACCUCUUUGUCGCCCCAAGUAGCUGUUACUCCCACCCCCUCUGCUCAACAGUCACAUUUCAACUGCCACAGAACCUUUGCGUGCCAACAUUCCAUGUGGUUCCCGCAGGUCCCAAUGAUGGUUGAACCUGGAGAUGUUCUGAACAGAGAGAGCUCUCAGCCAUGCUCAGAGCUGUUUCCAGCACUUCACACUGACUCAAUAGAUAUUCUAGGCUUCAGAGUGACAUGCAGACAGAAUGAGACUACUGCAAGAUGUGCGUUGAUUUGUCAGGGUGGCAAAUCAGGAUGUUUACACCGCAUGGGUGGAAUUUGUGAAGUCAGAAUGGCUGAGAACUUAAAAAUGGGAUGGUAACAGACAAACCUAGUGGCGACUGAACCUGAAAACAUGAACAAAGAGAACCCCCAUCCAUGCUUGUAGCAGUUUCCAUGGCUUCACACUGACUAUGCAGACAUUUUAGGUUUCAUUGUGACAUUCCUGGAAUCUUAUCAUAGAAACUAAGCCCACUGAGGUUACUACUUGGCUCUCCUGUGGAGUGAAGAGGGGAGUUGGGACACUUAUGCAGGGGAGUUGUGGUUGGCAACAUUGGAAUUGUGGGAAAGCAUUGGAGGACUAGCAGCACUUGAGCGUAACAAGCUUGCCUCCACAUGGCAGAGCAGUCAUGUCAGCAGCUGACAAGUUGUACUAAAUGAGCUUUAAUCAAGAUCCCCAGUGGGCCAGCAGCUUAAGUUAAAAGCACCACCACACUCAUUUAAGGGUUUGUGUGUUGUGUUGACAAGGGCAGCACUCAAGUCAAUUUUGCAGUGAAGACAAGCCCACAGCCUGCAACCUAAAGAGUCAGAUAAAAACUACCAGGCCUAUCUGCAUCAAGACCCAAAUAAAGAAUCCUUUUUACAUUCAUUACAACAGAGUCUGGUCUCUUGUCCAUGUGCAACAGCAGGGGUCUGUAACCCUUUUUUACAAAAAAAUAUUGCAGCCACACUGGAGAA